CUUUUACUGGUUGAUGAAUAAAGCUGAUUUGGCCAAUGGCCAAGCAGAAUAAAGCCAGGCAGGAAAUCCAAACAAAGAUACAGAGAGAAAGAAGGCAAAGUCAGGGAGACUCCAUGUAGCCGCCAGGGAAGCAAGAUGUGAGGUAACAAGACACGAGCCUCAUGGUAAAAUACAGGAUAUUAGGAAGGGGUUAAUUUAGUUGUGAGAGCUAGUUAGUAAUAUGCCUGAACCAAUGGCCAAACAAUGAUAAUUAAUUGGUUAAUGGGGAACUGCCGAGCGGGAUGAGAACCCUCCAGACAGUUUUGUAUAAUUCCAUUUGUCAGUUUUUGCCAUUUUGUGUGUAUCUAGGGGAACAGUCAAAAAACAGCCAGCUGUGUCAACAUCUUGACCGCUCUUCCAUGGUUCCCCAGUGGUGUCAGAACCUCAGGUCUUACCUUAACUUUCAUCAGUGUGCUGUAGGCUGGUCUCAGAGGGCCAGGUCCCCACUGUCCCUGUUCCUAUGGGCAGAGCACCCUUCCCCUACAGUGCAAAGCAGUCUGUGGGUUGACUCAGCCACUCUGCUGAGCCAACCAUGAUUCAUAAUCUCUGCCACUUUUCAAAAUCUGUGGCCUUGGGCACAUUCCUGAACCUCCUCUGCCUUGGAUUUCCUUUACAUAAUUUUACAUAAUGUUUUCGAGAUUAUAAUGUAAUAUAAUACUCAAAGUGGAUUAAACCAACUGAUGUUUACAAUGGAUCAUAAGUAGGUGUUAGAUAAAAGUAAACUUAAGCAAAAUGUAAGAGCAAAGUUUAGGCAGAUGGUUUUCUGGUACCAGAAGAACUCAGUGGUCGUGAGCAGCCAGCACAAGAUCCUUAACAUGCCACAUUAAAUUAACCUAAUUUCAUUUUUAGAAGAUUUAAUUAUGAGGUGGCUAGGGGAAACAAGAUAACGUUAAUGAAUUCCGACUUGAGUGAAACACUUAAUGUCUCGUGAUGCCUGUGUGAGCAGAGAGAAAAUAAUAUAUCAAAAAGGACUUCUUGGAAAAAAAUCAGGACUGUGUUAAAGUGAACCAGACAGACCUUUGGCUGUCAAUCUUCAUUUUCUACAGAAGAAACUGUUAGAAGUCAUAUAUACCUGCUCCCUCCCCAUCCUGGGGACUUGGAGAAUUCCUUUUCCAGUGUUGCUGCUGAUGACUGGG
rnacentral:lncRNA from 1 species